rnacentral:rRNA from 1 species
UACGGAGGGGGCAAGCGUUAUUCGGAAUUAUUGGGCGUAAAGGGCGCGUAGGCGGCUAGAUGUGUCAAAGGUGAAAUCCCUCGGCUCAACUGAGGAACUGCCUUUGAAACUGUCUGGCUUGAGGCCGGGAGAGGGUAGCGGAAUUCCCAGUGUAGCGGUGAAAUGCGUAGAUAUUCGGAAGAACACCAGUGGCGAAGGCGACUCGCUGGACAGACAUUGACGCUGAGGUGCGAAAGCGUGGGGAGCAAACAGG